CCGUUUGGUAUUAGAUUAGAUUUAAAAGACUGUUGUUAUGUUCCUGUAGCUAGUCGAAAUUUAAUUUUUAUGUCUGUGCUAGCACAAAAAGAUUUUGAAAUUAGUUUCAAUAAAUAUUUUUUAUUCUAUUUAUUUAUGAAAUAAAUUGAUUGCAUGAGAUCUUUUAAUUGACAGUCUUUUGUAUUUGCAUGUUGAUGCAAAUGUGAACUUAAACGAGCAAAUAGUGAGUGCCGUAGAUCAAAAAAGAUCCAAAGAUGUGAUUAACCAGAAGUACUUAUGGCACCAUAGACUAGGCCAUA
rnacentral:lncRNA from 1 species